UACGAAGGGGGCAAGCGUUGUUCGGAUUUACUGGGCGUAAAGCGUACGUAGGCGGAUGAUUAAGUCAGGGGUGAAAUCCCGGGGCUCAACCUCGGAACUGCCUUUGAUACUGGUCAUCUUGAGUCCGGGAGAGGUGAGUGGAACUCCUAGUGUAGAGGUGAAAUUCGUAGAUAUUAGGAAGAACACCAGUGGCGAAGGCGGCUCACUGGCCCGGAACUGACGCUGAGGUACGAAAGCGUGGGGAGCAAACAGGAUUAGAUACCCUGGUAGUCCACGCCGUAAACGAUGGAUGCUAGCCGUCGGGAAGCUUGCUUCUCGGUGGCGCAGCUAACGCAUUAAGCAUCCCGCCUGGGGAGUACGGUCGCAAGAUUAAA
rnacentral:rRNA from 1 species